GAUAUAUAUUUUUUAUUUUAUGGUUCCAUUGUCUUAGAGGAGGAGGCGUCCAUUUUCAAAGGCUCCACCAAGGUAUCCGAAGGCUAUUUCAUGUACCCUCUACGAUUUGCGUAUAGCGAAGGUAGUCUUUUAAAGAUUUUCACGGACUCCAACUUCAAAAUCUCGUUCGAUGCUUCAGGUUCGAAUGUGCCUUCAUUUGAAGCCUAUUCCUCCCAGUCUCCGCUCACCAGCGUCAACACAGCAACAUCAUCUUCAUCAGGAACUGUUUAUUAUUAUUCAAAUAAGAAACAAUAUACACUGACAAACGGACUGUUGACCGCGUUUUGUCCAGCAUAAUGAUUUUUACAACGGAACUACUAGAAUAUGCAGGGACAUUUACAUAAUUUUAUAAAUUUUUCACAUACUAUAUAUGUCGACAUACGUACAUACAUUUCACUCUUCCAUUUAUUUAUCUUUCCUCUCUCCCUCUUUCUCUGACAAUCUUUCUAUAUAUCUCUCUA